GACGAACGCUGGCGGCGUGCCUAACACAUGCAAGUCGAGCGAACGGACGAGAAGCUUGCGUCCCUGAUGUUAGCGGCGGAUGGGAGAUUAACACGUGGACAACCUCCCUAUAAGAAUGGGAUAACUUCGGGAAAACGGAGCUAAUACCGGAUAAUAUUUCGAACCGCAUGGUUCAAAAGUGUACGACGGUCUUGCUGUCACUUAUAGAUUGAUCCGCGCUGCAUUAGCUAGUUGUUAAGGUAACGGCUUACCAAGGCAACGAUGCAUAGCCGACCUGAGAGGGUGAUCGGCCACACUGGAACUGAGCCACGGACCAGACUCCUGCGGGAGGCAGCAGUAGGGAAUCUUCCGCAAUGGGGGAGAGCCUGACGGAGCAACGCGGCGUGAGUGAUGAAGGUGUUCGGAUCGUGAAACUCUGUUAUUAGGGAAGAACAUAUGUGUAAGUAACUGUGCAGAUAGUGACGGUACCUGAUCAGAAAGCCACGGCUAACUACGUG
rnacentral:rRNA from 1 species